rnacentral:RNase_MRP_RNA from 1 species
GGCAGCAUCGUUGCAGAUGUCAAAGCCAAAAUCUUGCAGCCUCCUGCUGGCACUCUCUGCCCAUUGGCACGGGGACUUUCCCCGCAGCAUUGCCAGGAGCAAGCUCCUCGUCUGUGCGCUGCGAAGUCGUGCUUCCCCUGCCUUCUCCCGGACACAAAAGAAUAUAAAAAACCAAACCUCUGACAUCAUGGCUCAAGUCAAUCUCGUUGUUGGCACUGG